AUGACGUCAAGUCAUCAUGGCCCUUACGACCAGGGCUACACACGUGCUACAAUGGCGCAUACAAAGAGAAGCGACCUCGCGAGAGCAAGCGGACCUCAUAAAGUGCGUCGUAGUCCGGAUUGGAGUCUGCAACUCGACUCCAUGAAGUCGGAAUCGCUAGUAAUCGUGGAUCAGAAUGCCACGGUGAAUACGUUCCCGGGCCUUGUACACACCGCCCGUCACACCAUGGGAGUGGGUUGCAAAAGAAGUAGGUAGCUUAACCUUCGGGAGGGCGCUUACCACUUUGUGAUUCAUGACUGGGGUGAAGUCGUAACAAGGUAACCGUAGGGGAACCUGCGGUUGGA
rnacentral:rRNA from 2 species